CCUACGGGCGGCAGCAGUGGGGAAUAUUGGACAAUGGGCGAAAGCCUGAUCCAGCUAUGCCGCGUGUGUGAAGAAGGCCUUCGGGUUGUAAAGCACUUUCAGUGGGGAAGAAAGCCUUGGGGCUAAUACCCUCGAGGAAGGACAUCACCCACAGAAGAAGCACCGGCUAACUCCGUGCCAGCAGCCGCGGUAAUACGGAGGGUGCGAGCGUUAAUCGGAAUUACUGGGCGUAAAGCGCGCGUAGGCGGUCUGAUAAGCCGGUUGUGAAAGCCCCGGGCUCAACCUGGGAACGGCAUCCGGAACUGUCAGGCUAGAGUGCAGGAGAGGAAGGUAGAAUUCCCGGUGUAGCGGUGAAAUGCGUAGAGAUCGGGAGGAAUACCAGUGGCGAAGGCGGCCUUCUGGACUGACACUGACGCUGAGGUGCGAAAGCGUGGGUAGCAAACAGGAUUAGAUACCCGGGUAGUC
rnacentral:rRNA from 1 species